GUGCCAGGCGCCGCGGUAAUACGGAGGGUGCGAGCGUUAAUCGGAAUUACUGGGCGUAAAGCGCGCGUAGGCGGCUUUGUCAGUCGGAUGUGAAAGUCCCCGGGCUUAACCUGGGAAUUGCAUUCGAUACUGCAUGGCUAGAGUAUGGUAGAGGGAAGUGGAAUUCCGGGUGUAGCGGUGAAAUGCGUAGAUAUCCGGAGGAACACCAGUGGCGAAGGCGACUUCCUGGGCCAAUACUGACGCUGAGGUGCGAAAGCGUGGGGAGCAAACAGGAUUAGAAACCCUAGUAGUCC
rnacentral:rRNA from 1 species